ACGCUGGCGGCAGGCCUAACACAUGCAAGUCGAGCGGUAGAGAGAAGCUUGCUUCUCUUGAGAGCGGCGGACGGGUGAGUAAUGCCUAGGAAUCUGCCUGGUAGUGGGGGAUAACGUUCGGAAACGGACGCUAAUACCGCAUACGUCCUACGGGAGAAAGCAGGGGACCUUCGGGCCUUGCGCUAUCAGAUGAGCCUAGGUCGGAUUAGCUAGUUGGUGAGGUAAUGGCUCACCAAGGCGACGAUCCGUAACUGGUCUGAGAGGAUGAUCAGUCACACUGGAACUGAGACACGGUCCAGACUCCUACGGGAGGCAGCAGUGGGGAAUAUUGGACAAUGGGCGAAAGCCUGAUCCAGCCAUGCCGCGUGUGUGAAGAAGGUCUUCGGAUUGUAAAGCACUUUAAGUUGGGAGGAAGGGCAUUAACCUAAUACGUUAGUGUUUUGACGUUACCGACAGAAUAAGCACCGGCUAACUCUGUGCCAGCAGCCGCGGUAAUACAGAGGGUGCAAGCGUUAAUCGGAAUUACUGGGCGUAAAGCGCGCGUAGGUGGUUUGUUAAGUUGGAUGUGAGAUCCCCGGGCUCAACCUGGGAACUGCAUUCAAAACUGACUGACUAGAGUAUGGUAGAGGGUGGUGGAAUUUCCUGUGUAGCGGUGAAAUGCGUAGAUAUAGGAAGGAACACCAGUGGCGAAGGCGACCACCUGGACUAAUACUGACACUGAGGUGCGAAAGCGUGGGGAGCAAAC
rnacentral:rRNA from 1 species